GUGGCGAAAAAAUAUAUUGAAUCUUUUAAAUUCCCAACUGUAUAUACAUGUAUUGCAUACAUACAUAGUAUUAAAGUUUAGUUAUAACUAGGCACUUUUAAAUGUAUUGGCAAAAAUACUACGCCGAGCGGAGCGAGUCAAAAAAAAUUUUGAAGGGUUUUGGAGCCACUGAAGGCCCAAGAAGCUAUAGAUUAAAUGAUGCAAAAUCAUGCUUUCUGGGUGUUCCAAAGACCAUUUCAUAAUCUGAAAAUGAAGUUUUGUUUUAAUAAUUUUUUGACAAUAUUUUGGUCUCAAAGCAAAAUGUAUAAAUUCA
rnacentral:lncRNA from 1 species